rnacentral:rRNA from 1 species
AGGUAGACGGCGGGGUAACGGCCCACCGUGCCCGCGAUGGGUAGCCGGACUGAGAGGUCGACCGGCCACAUUGGGACUGAGAUACGGCCCAGACUCCUACGGGAGGCAGCAGUGGGGAAUUUUGCGCAAUGGGGGAAACCCUGACGCAGCAACGCCGCGUGCGGGACGAAGGCCCUCGGGUUGUAAACCGCUUUCAGCAGGGAAGAUCCAAGACGGUACCUGCAGAAGAAGCUCCGGCUAACUACGUGCCAGCAGCCGCGGUAAUACGUAGGGGGCGAGCGUUAUCCGGAUUCAUUGGGCGUAAAGCGCGCGUAGGCGGCCGCCUAAGCGGGACCUCUAACCCCGGGGCUCAACCCCGGGCCGGGUCCCGGACUGGGCGGCUCGAGUGCGGUAGAGGAGAGCGGAAUUCCCGGUGUAGCGGUGGAAUGCGCAGAUAUCGGGAAGAACACCGAUGGCGAAGGCAGCUCUCUGGGCCGUCACUGACGCUGAGGCGCGAAAGCUGGGGGAGCGAACAGGAUUAGAUACCCUGGUAGUCCCAGCCGUAAACGAUGGGCGCUAGGUGUGGGGGGACGAUCCCUCCGUGCC